CUGGUUUGGCAGCACAUAUACUAAACUUGGAACGAUACAGAGGAGAUUAGCAUGGGCCCUGUGCAAGGAGGAUGGGCAAAUUCGUGAAGUAUUAAAAACAAAA